CACAUUUGAGGAUAUGUGGCAGUUUUAUGACUUCUCCAAGCUCAUCCGUAACGAUCUCCAGGCCGAAAGCGCAGAAGAAUGGAAGAUGGCCCAGGAAGCCUUCCGCUUUGUGCGUCAGUGGCUACUGAUGACGGAGUAGGACAUCAAUGUCACGUUAAGAGAUUUCGAUUGUACAUCCUCACAAAGGAGGAGGAGCGAGCUAAAGGCAAAGUUGCACCAGCUACGCCCCUCACGUCAGCUUGUGCAUCAGCAUUAGCAGCAUUAUCAACAUGACCUGCUGUAGCAAAUACACCAUCAGCAGCAGCGGCAGUAGCAGCAGCACAACAACAAGCACCACCACCACAAGGUGAUGAUGAAGACUGGCAAUGUAAAAUACUACGCGCCCGGGCGCUUUGUGGCCAAUCCGCACAGGGUCAAAAAAAAUAUUCCAAAAAAAACCAAACAAACAAAAACUACACGGUCAAGGCGUCCACGUCCAAAGGACUUUCUGGCAGGUCUUUUGAAAACUUUGUAAAUUUUAAGGAGGCGGUCAAUGACCUUGUAAAAUAAAACACAUUGAUAUGUA